rnacentral:rRNA from 1 species
GAUGAACGCUGGCGGCGUGCCUAAUACAUGCAAGUCGAGCGAACAGAUGAGGCGCUUGCUCCUCUGACGUUAGCGGAGGACGGGUGAGUAACACGUGGAUCACCUACCUAUAAGACUGGGAUCUCUUCGGGAAACCGGCGCUAAUACCGGAUGAUCUAUUGAACCGCAUGGUUCAAUAGUGAAAGACGGUUUUGCUGUCACUUAUCGAUGGAUCCGCGCCGCAUUAGCUAGUUGGGAAGGUAACGGCCUACCACGGCAACGAUGCGUAGCCGACCUGAGAGGGUGAUCGGCCACACGGGAAGUGGAACGCGGUCCAGACGCCUACGGGAGGCAGCAGUAGGGAAUGUGCCGCAAUGGGCGAAAGCCUGACGGAGCAACGCCGCGUGAGUGAUGAAAGUCCUGGGAGCGUAAAACUGGGUUAUGAGGGAAGAACAAAUGUGUAAGGAACUAUGCACGGCUUGACGGUACUGGAUCAGAAAGCCACGGCUAACUACGUG